rnacentral:rRNA from 1 species
UCAAGCGCGAGAAGGGCGUUUGGUGGAUGCCUUGGCAGUAAGAGGCGAUGAAGGACGUGAUACUCUGCGAUAAGCUUUGGGAAGUCGAGAAUAGACGCUAUACCCAAAGAUCUCCGAAUGGGGCAACCCAACUGAUACUUUGUUAUUGUUACACUUUUGUGUAAUCAAUAAUGGGGUAAAACAGUUAUUAAUUACCUGAAUACAUAGGGUUUUUAAAGCAAACCUGGGGAACUGAAACAUCUAAGUACCCAGAGGAAAGGAAAUCAAUAGAUACUCCCGUAGUAGUGGCGAGCGAACCGGGACCAGCCGAGCGAUGAAUGUGACUAGAACCAGUUGGAAAGCUGGGCAAUAUGGGUGACAGCCCCGUAUAGGAAGCAUGAUUUGACGUAUUAAGUAGGGCGGAACACGUGAAAUUCUGUCUGAACAUGGGGGGACCACCCUCUAAGGCUAAGUACUCCUUACUGACCGAUAGCGAACCAGUACCGUGAGGGAAAGGUGAAAAGCACCCCGACGAGGGGAGUGAAACAGUUUCUGAAACCGGACGCCUACAAACAGUUGGAGCCUCUUUAUGGGGUGACAGCGUACCUUUUGUAUAAUGGGUCAACGACUUGGUCUUACUAGCAAGCUUAAGCCGAUAGGUGUAGGCGCAGCGAAAGCGAGUCUUAAUAGGGCGAAUGAGUUAGUAGGAUCAGACCCGAAACCGAGUGAUCUAGGCAUGAGCAGGUUGAAGGUAAGGUAACACUUACUGGAGGACCGAACCCACAUCUGUUGAAAAAGAUCGGGAUGACUUGUGCCUAGGGGUGAAAGGCCAAUCAAACUCGGAGAUAGCUGGUUCUCCGCGAAAUCUAUUUAGGUAGAGCGUCAUCCGAAUACCCCGGGGGGUAGAGCACUGGAUGGGUAAUGGGGCCCCACAGGCUUACUGAUCCUAACCAAACUCCGAAUACCCGGGAGUAAUAGAUGGCAGACACACUGCGGGUGCUAACGCCCGUAGUGAAAAGGGAAACAACCCUGACCGACAGUUAAGGCCCCUAAUUCAUGGCUAAGUGGAAAAGCAGGUGAGACGACCAUAACAACCAGGAAGUUGGCUUAGAAGCAGCCAUCUUUUAAAGAUAGCGUAACAGCUCACUGGUCUAAUUUAAGUUAUCCUGCGGCGAAGAUGUACCGGGGCUCAAGCCAUGAGCCGAAGCUAGGGAUGCAAUUUAUUGCAUGGUAGCGGAGCGUUCUGUGAUAUAGAACGCUGCGUCUUUAGUAUCUUAGGAUAUUGUGGACGCAAUGUUCUGACUGUGAAGCCGGCGCGUAAGCGAUCCGGUGGAGUGAUCAGAAGUGAGAAUGUUGACAUGAGUAGCGACAAACAGGGUGAGAGACCCUGUCGCCGAAAGUCCAAGGGUUCCUGCUUAAAGCUAAUCUGAGCAGGGUAAGCCGACCCCUAAGGCGAGGCCGAAAGGCGUAGUCGAUGGGAACCAGUUUAAUAUUACUGGGCCAGGAGAUGGUGACGGAUCGAAAGCGUAGUGACUCCUUAUCGGAUUGAAGUUGCUGCCGGACGGUUCCUGGAAAUAGCCCUCCAUUAGAUCGUACCCUAAACCAACACAGGUGGACUGGUAGAGAAUACCAAGGCGCUUGAGAGAACUACAUUGAAGGAACUCGGCAAAAUGCCUCCGUAAGUUCGCGAGAAGGAGGCCCCAUCAGAAGGCAACUUUUGGUGGGGGGCACAGACCAGGGGGUGGCGACUGUUUACUAAAAACACAGGGCUCUGCGAAGUCGUAAGACGACGUAUAGGGUCUGACGCCUGCCCGGUGCCUGAAGGUUAAAAGGAGGGGUGAGAGCUCCGAAUUGAAGCCCAGGUAAACGGCGGCCGUAACUAUAACGGUCCUAAGGUAGCGAAAUUCCUUGUCGGG